rnacentral:rRNA from 1 species
GAAUAUUGGACAAUGGGCGCAAGCCUGAUCCAGCCAUGCCGCGUGUGUGAAGAAGGCCUUCGGGUUGUAAAGCUCUUUCGGCGGGGACGAUGAUGACGGUACCCGCAGAAGAAGCCCCGGCUAACUUCGUGCCAGCAGCCGCGGUAAUACGAAGGGGGCGAGCGUUGUUCGGAAUCACUGGGCGUAAAGGGCGCGCAGGCGGUCCUUCAAGUCAGGCGUGAAAGCCCCGGGCUCAACCUGGGAAUUGCGCUUGAGACUGGAGGACUCGAGGACGGGAGAGGAGAGUGGAAUUCCCAGUGUAGAGGUGAAAUUCGUAGAUAUUGGGAAGAACACCGAUGGCGAAGGCAGCUCUCUGGACCGUUACUGACGCUGAGGCGCGAAAGCGUGGGGAGCAAACAG